rnacentral:antisense_RNA from 1 species
CUUGACCGUACCGAGCCACAGCGGGCGGCCGGCCUCCCGUUCCUGGCCGUAGGUGGCGAGCAGGGCCUGGGCCUC